rnacentral:rRNA from 1 species
CGGGACGGGUGAGUAAUGUCUGGGAAACUGCCUGAUGGAGGGGGAUAACUACUGGAAACGGUAGCUAAUACCGCAUAACGUCGCAAGACCAAAGAGGGGGACCUUAGGGCCUCUUGCCAUCGGAUGUGCCCAGAUGAGAUUAGCUAGUAGGUGGGGUAACGGCUCACCUAGGCGACGAUCCCUAGCUGGUCUGAGAGGAUGACCAGCCACACUGGAACUGAGACACGGUCCAG